AUGGCGAGCCGGGUGAAGGAGGACGAGAAGAACGAGCGGGUCAUAAGGGGGCUGCUCAAGCUGCCCGCCAACAAGAGGUGCAUCAACUGCAACAAUUUGGGACCACAAUAUGUCUGCACAAAUUUCUGGACCUUCGUUUGUACCAAUUGCAGUGGAGCACACCGAGAGUUCACUCACCGGGUGAAAUCUGUUUCCAUGGCUAAAUUUACCGCACAAGAAGUCACUGCUCUACAAGGAGGAGGAAAUGAGCGUGCUAGAGAAAUAUUUUUCAAGGAGUGGGAUUCUCAGCGUAAUCCAUACCCUGACAGCAGUAAUACGGACAAAUUGAGGAAUUUCAUCAAGCAUAUUUACGUGGAGCGGAGAUAUACAGGAGAAAGAAGCUCUGAUAGACCACCGAGGGGAAAGGACGAUAAGGAUGAACAUAGCGAAAAUAGAAGAUCUGAUGGAAAUCGGGGUGGUUCAAGAAGUCCACCAUACAAUGAAAGUUACUCUGACCGUCGGAGUUAUAGUGGACGGAGUGAUGACAGAAAUUCCAGACAUUCCUAUGGAGAACGUAGUCCUGGCUAUGACCAGAAUGACUAUAAGAAAAGCCCCCGCCACUUUGAAGCUGUCGACGAUAGAUCUGGGAAAACGACUCCAGUUCAAAGGUUCGAGGACCGCAGGUUUUCUGAACCACGAAAGCCAGAGACUGGGUCUCCAAAUUACCAGAGAGAAGCCAACGGAUCUAGUCCUCCUGUUGUACGGCCAGUGAGGGAGAUAUUGGGUGAUGAUGCUCCUCAACUUCGGAUUGGUGAACCUCCAAAGCCGAAUGUAGCCAGACCGAUUGAUCCUCCAAAACCAAAUGGAACCAGGACCAUUGAGCCUCCACCUCAGGCACAGAGGACAUCUACUGCCAGCAGUAUUGGUUCUUCCGAGGGGAUUUCGGAACAGACGAAGGCAGCAACUCCAGUCAGUUUAAUUGAUUUUGGUGCAGAUCCUGAACCCACUGCAUCUGCCCCGCCAUCACAGACAGCCCCUACACCCCAACAGCAGCCAGUUAGUGCACAGCCUAUUAACGCAACAACGCCGCAACAUGUUCUUGAACAAGGCAAAAGUGCUCCAUCAGCAAGCGGCGGUGAUUGGGCAUCUUUUGAUGCUUUUGGCCAGCAGCAACAAACACCACAAGUAGGCAGCACCGUAAAUCCACUUGAGUCUGUGCUUGCACAACUAUCAUUCUCCGAAACACCCUCUGCCUCCAAUACGUCAGCCUUUUCAACUUCUGUUGAUCCGCAAGCAAAUGGAGGACAGCUGUCCAUGAUAGAUACAUCACAUUCUUCAUUAUUUGGUCCACCCGUUGGAAUCUCAGGCAAUCAGGUCUCAACAGGAAUGCCUGUCCAAGGAUCUGCAGUUCAUCAAUCUGCUGUGGCUGCCUCUAUGGGUGGUCUUCCAUCUCAAUUGCCUUCAAAUUCUCAAGGAACCAGUGGUAUUCAAGAAGCAACGUCUUCUCAUGACAGCAAAUCCAGUGGGCGGACAGUACUGCCAGUGGAUUUCUUUACUUCACUAUAUCCAUCAGCAACUCCAGCAAUGCCUGGCUGGCAGAGAGCUCCCCAGUCUGGAAUGGGAUUUGGCAUGCAGUAUCCUGCUGCAAUGUUGCAGGGAAUGCAGUCAUAUCCUCAGGCAGCAUUUUCUCAACCUACAUAUCAACAACCUAUGUAUCAGCAACCUACAUACCAACAACCUACGUAUCAACAGCCUGUAUAUCAGCAAAAUGCGUAUCCCCAACCUGCGAAAGCUUCAAACCCUUUUGACCUCGGAAAUGAGGCAGCCCCAAUUCAAGCUCACAUGUCCCGACCACUGGGAGCAUCAUCAGGCGCUACUAACCCAACAUUAGUUGGUAACUCUAGUUUUGGAGUUCCACCUCAGCAGCCUCAGCAGAUGUAUCAGCCAUCUGUACAUCAAAACCAUUACAUGAUGCAGCAUGUUUCAAACAACAUGCCUGAGCAGCUACCUAAUGGCAUGCUUCCAAGGCAACAAGGAGGUGCUGGUUCCCUCGGCGUAGGCUAUGAUCAACAAGCUGCUCCUAGGUAUUCCCAGCCAAACACCCCACCGUCCUAUGGUGCUGUGGGUGGAAAUCCUUUCGGCUCCAUGUAA
rnacentral:rRNA from 1 species